GUAUAGCCCUGGGCCUGUUCUGGAGCAAACUAUCAGCAGCAAAUACUGUCAUCUGUGAGGACACAGCAGUGGAAAAUCCUUCCAUGCCUGUCGGCUUCACUGUUAUCUUACAAUGUGGGGGGAAGAAAGGAAGCUGAAAGACUGGGAGUUGACCUGAAG